rnacentral:piRNA from 1 species
UUCUCAACAAGUUUGAGAGCAGAUUGUGCCU